AGCAGCCGCGGUAAUUCCAGCUCCAAUAGCGUAUAUUAAAGUUGUUGCAGUUAAAAAGCUCGUAGUUGAACUUCAGGCCUGGCUGGGCGGUCCGCCUUCCGGGCGAGUACUGCCUGUGGUCGGGUCCUACCUUCUGGCGAAGCGUCAUGGCCUUAACCGGCCGUGGCGGGGAACCAGGACUUUUACUGUGAAAAAAUUAGAGUGUUCAAAGCAGGCACGCGCUUGAAUACAUUAGCAUGGAAUAAUGGAAUAGGACAGUGGUUCUAUUUGUUGGUUUCUAGGACCGUUGUAAUGAUUAAUAGGGAUAGUUGGGGGCAUUAGUAUUCAAUUGUCAGAGGUGAAAUUCUUGGAUUUAUUGAAGACUAACUACUGCGAAAGCAUUUGCCAAGGAUGUUUUCAUUAAUCAAGAACGAAAGUUAGGGGAUCGAAGACGAUCAGAUACCGUCGUAG
rnacentral:rRNA from 1 species